rnacentral:rRNA from 1 species
AACCUGGUUGAUCCUGCCAGAGGCGACCGCUGUUGGAGUUCGAUUAAGCCAUGCGAGUAGAAUGAAAUUAGAUUCAUUGCAAACUGCUCAGUAACACGUGGAUAACCUGCCCUAUGCUCUGGAAUAACCUCGGGAAACUGAGAAUAAUACCGGAUAGAUCACAACGCCUGGAACGGUGUGUGGUUGAAAGAUUACGGCAUAGGAUGGGUCUGCGGCGUAUCAGGUCGUAGGGGGUGUAAUGGACCCCCUAGCCAUCGACGCGUACGGGUGUUGGGAGACAUAGCCCGGAGACGGAUUCUGAGACACGAAUCCGGACCCUACGGGGUGCAGCAGGCGCGAAAACUUCACACUGCAGGAAACUGUGAUGAGGGAACUCCAAGUGGAUGCACAUAGUGUAUCUCUUUUCUUUACUAUUAAUCGGUAUUGGAAUAAGGGCUGGGAAAGACCGGUGCCAGCCGCCGCGGUAAUACCGGCAGCUCGAGUGGUCGUCGCUUUUAUUGGGCCUAAAACGUCCGUAGCCGGUUUGGUAAAUCUGUGGGUAAAUCAACUAGCUUAACUAGUUGAAUUCUGCAGAGACUGCCAGACUAGGAACCGGGAGAGGUGUGGGGUACUCAAGGGGUAGGGGUAAAAUCCUGUCAUCCUUUGAGGACCACCAGUUGCGAAGGCGCCACACUGGAACGGAUUCGACGGUCAGGGACGAAGCCUAGGGGCACGAACCGGAUUAGAUACCCGGGUAGUCCUAGGUGUAAACGCUGUGAAAUUGGUGUCGGGAGUCCGCAAUGGGCCCCCGGUGCCGGAGUGAAGAUGUUAAGUUCACUGCCUGGGGAGUACGGUCGCAAGGCUGAAACUUAAAGGAAUUGGCGGGGGAGCACUGCAACGCGAGGAGCGUGCGG